rnacentral:rRNA from 1 species
GGAUGAGAAGGGCGCAAGCCUGAUCCAGCAAUGCCGCGUGAGUGAUGAAGGCCUUCGGGUCGUAAAGCUCUUUUACCAGGGAUGAUAAUGACAGUACCUGGAGAAUAAGCUCCGGCUAACUCCGUGCCAGCAGCCGCGGUAAUACGGAGGGAGCUAGCGUUGUUCGGAAUUACUGGGCGUAAAGCGCACGUAGGCGGCGACACAAGUCAGAGGUGAAAGCCCGGGGCUCAACCCCGGAACUGCCUUUGAA